rnacentral:rRNA from 1 species
AAUACAUGCAAGUCGAACGAGAUCUUCGGAUCUAGUGGCGCACGGGUGCGUAACGCGUGGGAAUCUGCCCUUGGGUUCGGAAUAACUUCUGGAAACGGAAGCUAAUACCGGAUGAUGACGUAAGUCCAAAGAUUUAUCGCCCAAGGAUGAGCCCGCGUAGGAUUAGCUAGUUGGUGGGGUAAAGGCCCACCAAGGCGACGAUCCUUAGCUGGUCUGAGAGGAUGAUCAGCCACACUGGGACUGAGACACGGCCCAGACUCCUACGGGAGGCAGCAGUAGGGAAUAUUGGACAAUGGGCGAAAGCCUGAUCCAGCAAUGCCGCGUGAGUGAUGAAGGCCUUAGGGUUGUAAAGCUCUUUUACCCGGGAUGAUAAUGACAGUACCGGGAGAAUAAGCUCCGGCUAACUCCGUGCCAGCAGCCGCGGUAAUACGGAGGGAGCUAGCGUUGUUCGGAAUUACUGGGCGUAAAGCGCACGUAGGCGGCUAUUCAAGUCAGAGGUGAAAGCCCGGGGCUCAACCCCGGAACUGCCUUUGAAACUAGAUAGCUUGAAUCCAGGAGAGGUGAGUGGAAUUCCGAGUGUAGAGGUGAAAUUCGUAGAUAUUCGGAAGAACACCAGUGGCGAAGGCGGCUCACUGGACUGGUAUUGAC